rnacentral:misc_RNA from 1 species
UCUCGGCUUAUCACCGGCAGCCCCCCUAGAGUGCCCAACUGAAUGAUGGCAACUAGGGGCGAGGGUUGCGCUCGUUGCGGGACUUAACCCAACAUCUCACGACACGAGCUGACGACAACCAUGCACCACCUGUCCACCGACCCCGAAGGGAAACCCCAUCUCUGGGGCGGUCCGGUGAAUGUCAAGCCUUGGUAAGGUUCUUCGCGUUGCAUCGAAUUAAACCACAUGCUCCACCGCUGUGCGGGCCCCCGUCAAUUCCUUUGAGUUUCAUUCUUGCGAACGUACUCCCCAGGUGGGUUACUUAUCACUUUCGCUUAGCCACUCAGUCUUACAACCGAACAGCUAGUAACCAACGUUUACGGCGUGGACUAC